GAUGAACGCUGGCGGCGUGCCUAAUACAUGCAAGUCGAGCGAAAGGACGAUAAGCUUGCUUCUUUGAUGUUAGCGGCGGACGGGUGAGUAACACGUGGAUAACCUACUUAUAUGUCUGAGAUAAUUUCGGGAAACCGGAGACAAUACCGGAUGAUAUUUUGAACCGCUGGGAUCAUAAGAGAUUGUCGGCUUUGCUGUUUCUAUGAGCUGUUUCCGCGCUGCAUUGGCUAGUUGGUAAGGUAACGGCCUACCAAGGCUACGAUGCAUAGCCGACCUGAGAGGAUGAUCGGCCACACUGGAACUGAGACACGGUCCAGACUCCUACGGGAGGCAGCAGUGGGGAAUAUUCCGCAAUGGGCGAAAGCCUGACCGAGCCACGCCGCGUGAGUGAAGAAGGCCUUCGGAUCGUAAAGCUCUGUUAUUGGGGAAGAACAGCUGUAUAAGAAACUGUGGCCAUCUUGACGGUACCGAAUCAAAAAGCAACGGCUAACUACGUG
rnacentral:rRNA from 1 species